rnacentral:rRNA from 1 species
GUGAGUAACACGUGGGUAACCUACCCAUCAGAGGGGGAUAACACUUGGAAACAGGUGCUAAUACCGCAUAACAGUUUAUGCCGCAUGGCAUAAGAGUGAAAGGCGCUUUCGGGUGUCGCUGAUGGAUGGACCCGCGGUGCAUUAGCUAGUUGGUGAGGUAACGGCUCACCAAGGCCACGAUGCAUAGCCGACCUGAGAGGGUGAUCGGCCACACUGGGACUGAGACACGGCCCAGACUCCUACGGGAGGCAGCAGUAGGGAAUCUUCGGCAAUGGACGAAAGUCUGACCGAGCAACGCCGCGUGAGUGAAGAAGGUUUUCGGAUCGUAAAACUCUGUUGUUAGAGAAGAACAAGGACGUUAGUAACUGAACGUCCCCUGACGGUAUCUAACCAGAAAGCCACGGCUAACUACGUGCCAGCAGCCGCGGUAAUACGUAGGUGGCAAGCGUUGUCCGGAUUUAUUGGGCGUAAAGCGAGCGCAGGCGGUUUCUUAAGUCUGAUGUGAAAGCCCCCGGCUCAACCGGGGAGGGUCAUUGGAAACUGGGAGACUUGAGUGCAGAAGAGGAGAGUGGAAUUCCAUGUGUAGCGGUGAAAUGCGUAGAUAUAUGGAGGA